UGGGGAAUUUUGGACAAUGGGCGCAAGCCUGAUCCAGCAACGCCGCGUGCAGGAUGAAGGCCUUCGGGUUGUAAACUGCUUUUGUACGGAGCGAAAAGGUCUGCCCUAAUACGGUGGGCUAAUGACGGUACCGUAAGAAUAAGCACCGGCUAACUACGUGCCAGCAGCCGCGGUAAUACGUAGGGUGCGAGCGUUAAUCGGAAUUACUGGGCGUAAAGCGUGCGCAGGCGGUGAUGUAAGACAGAUGUGAAAUCCCCGGGCUCAACCUGGGACCUGCAUUUGUGACUGCAUCGCUGGAGUGCGGCAGAGGGGGAUGGAAUUCCGCGUGUAGCAGUGAAAUGCGUAGAUAUGCGGAGGAACACCGAUGGCGUAGGCAAUCCCCUGGGCCUGCACUGACGCUCAUGCACGAAAGCGUGGGGAGCAAACA
rnacentral:rRNA from 1 species